UCGGUAAGUUCGUCAUAAACAUCAUCGAUCUCUGCUAAUCAACUCCUUCGGAUCUGUUAAAAAAACGGCUUCUCAUAAUACGUGUGUUGUGAUCGUGCGUGCAGUCGAGCGACGAGGAAGAGGAGGUGAUCGAUGAGAACGGAGAGAUCGUCAAGAGGAAGAAGAAGAAGGGCCUUAAGGAGAAGAUCAAGGAGAAGCUGCCGGGCCACCACAAGGACCACGACGGCGACCACCACACGGCCGCCGUACCGGCCCCCGCGCCCGUGGUGGACGCGCACGCUCACCACCACCAGGAGGAAGAGCACAAGCCGCAGCACUUCCCGGCCCCGGCGCCACCCCCACACGUGGAGACGCACGUCCACCAGCAUGACCACGGCGUCGUCGUCCAGAAGGUCGAGGACGACGUGAAGACCGAGACCCCACCCCCAGCGCCGGAGGAGGAGAAGAAAGGCCUGCUGGACAAGAUCAAGGAGAAGCUCCCCGGUGGCCACAAGAAGCCCGAAGACGCUGCCGCUGCCGCACCGGCCGUCCACGCGCCGGCGCCGGCGCCGCACGCCGAGGAGGUGAGCAGCCCGGAUGGCAAGGAGAAGAAGGGCUUGCUGGGCAAGAUCAUGGACAAGAUACCCGGUUACCACAAGGG
rnacentral:lncRNA from 1 species